UACGAAGGGUGCAAGCGUUACUCGGAAUUACUGGGCGUAACGCGUGCGUAGGUGGUGGUUUAAGUCAGAUGUGAAAGCCCUGGGCUCAACCUGGGAACUGCAUUUGAUACUGGAUCACUAGAGUGCGGUAGAGGAUAGUGGAAUUCCCGGUGUAGCAGUGAAAUGCGUAGAGAUCGGGAGGAACACCAGUGGCGAAGGCGACUAUCUGGACCAGCACUGACACUGAGGCACGAAAGCGUGGGGAGCAAACAGG
rnacentral:rRNA from 1 species